GACGAACGCUGGCGGCAGGCUUAACACAUGCAAGUCGAACGCCCCGCAAGGGGAGUGGCAGACGGGUGAGUAACGCGUGGGAAUCUACCCAGUUCUACGGAACAACAGUUGGAAACGACUGCUAAUACCGUAUACGCCCUAAGGGGGAAAGAUUUAUCGGAAUUGGAUGAGCCCGCGUUGGAUUAGCUAGUUGGUGAGGUAACGGCUCACCAAGGCGACGAUCCAUAGCUGGUCUGAGAGGAUGAUCAGCCACACUGGGACUGAGACACGGCCCAGACUCCUACGGGAGGCAGCAGUGGGGAAUAUUGGACAAUGGGCGCAAGCCUGAUCCAGCCAUGCCGCGUGAGUGAUGAAGGCCUUAGGGUUGUAAAGCUCUUUCAGUAGGGAAGAUAAUGACGGUACCUACAGAAGAAGCCCCGGCUAACUUCGUGCCAGCAGCCGCAGUAAUAC
rnacentral:rRNA from 1 species